GCACAGAGGGGAGGAGAUAUUCAGUGAACUGUGGCUUUAAAGUGCAGGUAACUAUAGCAACAGUACUGACAGCUCAGUUUUCUGACUGGUGAAACUAAAGCCUGGUGCAGAAUACAAGACUUUGUAAGAGACAGAGUUGUUGCGCAGCUUUUGUCCCAGGCUGUGAACACGUUGACGUGGAGGCGCACUGAUGACACAGCAGAUCUUAGAUGAGGUGUUACUGAUUACAGCGUUCACGAGUGAAGUGUACGAUGAUGAUACUCAAUGAAAAACAGGUUCAAUAUAGCCGCCUGUGGAUGCUCUGAUGUUAGACAUGAUCAACUUGUCUUUGGUUAGCAACUCGCUGUCUGAUAAUCCAGGUCGGUUCAAGAGUUGUUUGACCUGAGUGAUGUGCUGAGAGUUGCAGGGUUAAUCUAUGAACUGCUUUGGCUGACUGUUACCUUCAAAAACAUGACAUCAAAAGCCCCAAACAAACAUUCCCUAAAAAACAGGCCUUUAGAAAAAGGAGAUACAAAAAUCAUCAGAGGUGCUGCCAAAUUAUUGACAUCAAUAAAUGUUCCUUCUUGCAAAGAGAUCAAUACAGAUACAUCAGUGAUCAGAUGAAAUGCAGUCAGAUUAUCCCUGCUGAUAUAUCCCAGGUCUAGAUUCUUCUGUAUCUUUGAGUUGAACUCUUUAAAUGAACAAAAUGUCUGUCCAGUGACAAAGCAAGCUUUAAAACCUCAGUAACUCUCUGACUCUGUACAAUAACAUGUUUAAAACUUGUGGUGUUUCACUGUGUUUUCUGUCAAGUUUGUUAAAAUAAGAAUCAUAUUUUAUAUGUUUUUACUAUUGAACCUUAAAUAUGUUGAGUAUUGUCACAACUUAUCUGUGUCAUUAUAAACAAAUGAACAUGAGAACAUGACGUUGAUGAAGCUUUGAUGUUCCUGUGCUUUGCUACAUGCCAAAUAUGAGUGGAUGCUUUACUGAUUUCAUUCAUUUAGAUCAUAAUUCAGACCAAUCUGUAAUCACAUGUUCUGUAUUUGAUCUUUUUCUUUCUCUCAUUAUAAAAGAUGAAUAAAGUGUGUCUGUGUAGUUCA